rnacentral:rRNA from 1 species
GAUGAACGCUGGCGGCGUGCUUAACACAUGCAAGUCGAGCGAAGCGCUAAAGCGGAUUUCUUCGGAUUGAAGUUUUAGUGACUGAGCGGCGGACGGGUGAGUAACGCGUGGGUAACCUGCCUCAUACAGGGGGAUAACAGUUGGAAACGGCUGCUAAUACCGCAUAAGCGCACAGUACCGCAUGGUACGGUGUGAAAAACUCCGGUGGUAUGAGAUGGACCCGCGUCUGAUUAGGUAGUUGGUGGGGUAACGGCCUACCAAGCCGACGAUCAGUAGCCGACCUGAGAGGGUGACCGGCCACAUUGGGACUGAGACACGGCCCAAACUCCUACGGGAGGCAGCAGUGGGGAAUAUUGCACAAUGGGGGAAACCCUGAUGCAGCGACGCCGCGUGAGCGAAGAAGUAUUUCGGUAUGUAAAGCUCUAUCAGCAGGGAAGAAA